ACAUGCAGUCGAGCGAACUGAUUAGAAGCUUGCUUCUAUGACGUUAGCGGCGGACGGGUGAGUAACACGUGGGCAACCUGCCUGUAAGACUGGGAUAACUUCGGGAAACCGAAGCUAAUACCGGAUAGGAUCUUCUCCUUCAUGGGAGAUGAUUGAAAGAUGGUUUCGGCUAUCACUUACAGAUGGGCCCGCGGUGCAUUAGCUAGUUGGUGAGGUAACGGCUCACCAAGGCAACGAUGCAUAGCCGACCUGAGAGGGUGAUCGGCCACACUGGGACUGAGACACGGCCCAGACUCCUACGGGAGGCAGCAGUAGGGAAUCUUCCGCAAUGGACGAAAGUCUGACGGAGCAACGCCGCGUGAGUGAUGAAGGCUUUCGGGUCGUAAAACUCUGUUGUUAGGGAAGAACAAGUACGAGAGUAACUGCUCGUACCUUGACGGUACCUAACCAGAAAGCCACGGCUAACUACGUGCCAGCAGCCGCGGUAAUACGUAGGUGGCAAGCGUUAUCCGGAAUUAUUGGGCGUAAAGCGCGCGCAGGCGGUUUCUUAAGUCUGAUGUGAAAGCCCACGGCUCAACCGUGGAGGGUCAUUGGAAACUGGGGAACUUGAGUGCAGAAGAGAAAAGCGGAAUUCCACGUGUAGCGGUGAAAUGCGUAGAGAUGUGGAGGAACACCAGUGGCGAAGCGGCUUUUUGGUCUGUAACUGACGCUGAGCGCGAAAGCGUGGGGAGCAAACAGGAU
rnacentral:rRNA from 2 species